GAUCUGGCUCAGGAUGAACGCUGGCGGCGUGCUUAACACAUGCAAGUCGAACGGGAAACUUUUCAUUGAAGCUUCGGCAGAUUUGGUCUGUUUCUAGUGGCGGACGGGUGAGUAACGCGUGGGUAACCUGCCUUAUACAGGGGGAUAACAACCAGAAAUGGUUGCUAAUACCGCAUAAGCGCACAGGACCGCAUGGUCCGGUGUGAAAAACUCCGGUGGUAUAAGAUGGACCCGCGUUGGAUUAGCUAGUUGG
rnacentral:rRNA from 1 species